AAUUUUCAAAUGUUAUGCAGUGUCCAUAUAUGGACAUAUAUGGUAUAUAUGAUCUUCGUGUGAACAUACUUAAUUACAUCACUUCACAUACAUAUGUGUAUGUCGGCGCGUACUGAGUGUGCUUCUCAUCUACCAACCGCAGAAGUUUCAGCGCACUCUGAAAAGAUCGUCCCUGAAGCUAUGAUCGUACAGUCUAUAGUAUUUAUCCCGGAAUGCGAUCUGUCGCUCACAAAGGCGCCUUUUCAACUCUCGGAGCGGAACUUCCGUUGGAAUAUUUAGCUCUCAUCCAGUCCUUUGGCAGAUUGCUUCCCCCGUUGCAGCAAUUCCUGCAUGAUGUCGUGCUCCGUCCCAGGAUUUCUUUCGGCACAAUCGGCUAUGCAACCAUCGGCUCUGCUUUUCAAUCUUUUGAGCCACUUUUAGCGAUAUGGAGCUGCACUUGGACUCACUGAUGCCCGAUUGCAUGGAUUUCCUACGAGUUUGAUGGAGCGGAGUAAUCGCGGCGUUCCCUGCCAGUUCAGUACAGUUCUUGAGAACUGUAGAUACUGCUGAGCCUUACCCUGCUGUAAUGAAUACUUCUCAAGUUCGAUCGAUGUUCAACCAAUAGAAUCUUCCAAUCAGCAGAUUCGCUACCGAAACCCAAUCUGACAGUUGCUCCGCAGCAAUGAUUAGUAUUCAACAAACCAAGAAGAAAAAACAAUUCCUUACCCAGGCUAACCAAUUUUUCGAACAAACAUUUGACUGGCGAAUGUCAUCCAAAGGACGUUAUAUUGUAGACUAUCGCAGCUUUUGUCGCACUUUCUUAUAACCUGAACCCUUUAAAAAUGGAUGUAAUGUAUUUUUGCAAAUGUAUCUAACAGGCAAAGGGAAGCAGUCCACAUAUAUAUUCCUGAUCAGUAUCAGUAGUAUCGGAAACUCCCAACUAGAGACUCAUACAUGUUAUACAUGCAUUUAUUGUAAUAACUUAUAAACUUUUAAUAUUUAUGCCCAUUGCAAAAC